CGGAACGGACCGUCGGUCGGGCCGGAUAGUCUGUAACACAUGCAAGUAGAGCGACGAACCUUUUAGGGGCAAAGCCGCGAACGGGUGAGUAACACGUGGGCAAUCUGCCCAGUUGACUGGAAUAACUCGAGGAAACUCGAGCUAAUACCGGAUGUGCUUGCUUCUCACAAGAGGAGUAAGUAAAGGGAGCUUCGGCUAUCCGCAAUUGGAGGAGCCUGCGGCGCAUUAGCUUGUUGGUGGGGUAACGGCCUACCAAGGCAUCGAUGCGUAGCUGGUCUGAGAGGACGAUCAGCCACACUGGAACUGAGACACGGUCCAGACUCCUACGGGAGGCAGCAGUGGGGAAUCUUGCACAAUGGGCGACAGCCUGAUGCAGCAAUGCCCGCGUGAGGGAAGACGGCCUUCGGGUUGUAAACCUCUUUCAGUUGGGAUGAAGGUUGGACGGUUAACAGCCGCGCCAACUGACCGUACCUUCAGAAGAAGCUCCGGCUAACUACGUG
rnacentral:rRNA from 1 species